rnacentral:rRNA from 1 species
AUGGGGUCCAAGGACCAGGACCUGGCCGCGUCGUCGGGCGGUGGCGGAGGCUUCUUCUCCUCGAUCGCCGCGGGCGUGCGCAGCUGGGGCACUGCCGUGCACAAAUCGGUCAACGGGUUGGUUGGCUAUGAAGGGCUUGAAGUUAUCAAUCCAGAUGGAGGCACAGAUGAUGCGGAAGCAGAGGCUAUGAAGGGGCGAUGGAAACAGGAGGAUCGCGACAGUUACUGGAAGAUGAUGAACAAGUACAUAGGAUCAGAUGUAACGUCACUUGUUACACUUCCAGUCAUCAUCUUUGAGCCGAUGUCAAUGCUUCAGAAAAUGGCAGAGUUAAUGGAAUAUUGUGACCUGUUAGACAAAGCAGAUGAAUGUGAGGAUCCGCACAUGCGGAUGGUAUAUGCUUCUACAUGGGCUUUGUCAGCCUACCUAGCCUACCACCGUACGUGGAAGCCUUUCAAUCCCAUCCUUGGAGAGACGUAUGAGAUGGUUAACCACCAGGGUAUUACAUUUAUUGCUGAGCAGGUAAGUCAUCAUCCUCCGAUGGGUGUAGCUCACUGUGAGAACGAUCAUUUUACUUACGACAUCACAUCGAAGUUGAAGACGAAGUUCUUGGGAAACUCAGUGGAAGUGUAUCCAGUUGGAAGGACUAGAGUAACACUUAAGAAGUCCGGUGUCGUGUUGGAAUUGGUACCACCACUGACCAAGGUCAACAACUUAAUAUUUGGGCGCACAUGGGUAGACUCUUUUGGAGAGAUGGUCCUGACAAAUCUGACAACUGGAGACAAAGCCGUGCUGUAUUUCCAGCCAUGCGGCUGGUUUGGGGCUGGGCGAUUCGAGGUGGAUGGGUAUGUAUAUACUGCAGCUGAAGAACCGAAAAUAAUGAUGACAGGAAAAUGGAACAAGUCCAUGAGUUACCAGCCUUGUGAUCAAGAAGGUGAUCCUCUUCCAGGGACCGAGCUAAAAGAGGUCUGGAAAGCCGCUCCUGCUCCACCGAAUGACAAGUACCAGUAUACAUACUUUGCGCACAAAAUAAAUAGCUUUGAUACAGCACCUAAGAAGCUCUUGCCUUCAGACUCCCGAUUAAGGCCCGACAGAUAUGCCCUUGAGAAGGGCGACAUGUCUAAAUCUGGGGCACACAAGAGCAGGCUUGAAGAACAACAAAGAGCUGAGAAGAAAAUUCGGGACACCAAGGGGGAGCAAUUUACUCCAAAAUGGUUCAAAAUGACCGAGGACAUCUCCCCUACGCCGUGGGGCGAUCUGGAGGUGUAUGAGUACAAUGGCAGAUACGCCGAGCACCGGGCUGCGAUAGACAGCUCUAGCGUCGUCGCCGAGGAGACAGACGUGAGCUCCAUCGAGUUCAACCCGUGGCAGUAUGGUGACUCGCCUUCCCAAUGA